rnacentral:rRNA from 1 species
CAUGCAAGUCGAACGGGAAAUACUUUAUUGAAACUUUGGUGGAUUUAAUUUAUUUCUAGUGGCGGACGGGUGAGUAACGCGUGGGUAACCUGCCUUAUACUGGGGGAUAACAGCCAGAAAUGACUGCUAAUACCGCAUAAGCGCACAGAACCGCAUGGUUCGGUGUGAAAAACUCCGGUGGUAUAAGAUGGACCCGCGUUGGAUUAGCUGGUUGGCAGGGCAGCGGCCUACCAAGGCGACGAUCCAUAGCCGGCCUGAGAGGGUGAACGGCCACAUUGGGACUGAGACACGGCCCAGACUCCUACGGGAGGCAGCAGUGGGGAAUAUUGCACAAUGGGGGAAACCCUGAUGCAGCGACGCCGCGUGAAGGAAGAAGUAUCUCGGUAUGUAAACUUCUAUCAGCAGGGAAGAUAAUGACGGUACCUGACUAAGAAGCCCCGGCUAACUACGUGCCAGCAGCCGCGGUAAUACGUAGGGGGCAAGCGUUAUCCGGAUUUACUGGGUGUAAAGGGAGCGUAGACGGCGCAGCAAGUCUGAUGUGAAAGGCAGGGGCUUAACCCCUGGACUGCAUUGGAAACUGCUGUGCUUGAGUGCCGG